AAGUCGUAACAAGGUUUCCGUAGGUGAACCUGCGGAAGGAUCAUUAACACGAAUUUUUAUCCAAAUAUCAAAAACAUCACGGUCACUUUUCCCCUCCCUAAUUCAAAAACUUUUUCAAACUUUCGAGUAUGAAAAUGUUUUUUGAUUAGGCUAACCUUUGUAAAUUAUUUGAUUAAUUUCAAAUGUUUACAAACAUUAAAUUUUUUAACCACUUUAACUUUAACUCUUUUUGUCUACUUAAUUGUUUACAAAAACUAACUAAUUUACACAGAAUAAAUCUUAACCGAUUUCUAUUCUUGUUGUAUUUUCAUUUACGAAAUUACAAUAUUCUUAUUAAGAACAACUCUUAACAAUGGAUAUCUUGGUUCUC
rnacentral:misc_RNA from 1 species